AUACAGAGGGUGCGAGCGUUAAUCGGAAUUACUGGGCGUAAAGCGCGCGUAGGCGGUCUAUUAAGUCAGAUGAGAAAUCCCAGGGCUCAACCUUGGAACUGCAUCUGAUACUGGUAGACUAGAGUUUUGGAGAGGGAAGUAGAAUUUCAGGUGUAGCGGUGAAAUGCAUAGAGAUCUGAAGGAAUACCAGUGGCGAAGGCGACUUCCUGGCCUAAAACUGACGCUGAGGUGCGAAAGCGUGGGUAGCAAACGGGAUUAGAAACCCCAGUAGUCC
rnacentral:rRNA from 1 species